rnacentral:rRNA from 1 species
UACGUAGGGUGCAAGCGUUGUCCGGAAUUAUUGGGCGUAAAGAGCUCGUAGGCGGUCUGUCGCGUCGGCUGUGAAAACCCGGAGCUCAACUCCGGGCCUGCAGUCGAUACGGGCAGACUGGAGUUCGGCAGGGGAGACUGGAAUUCCUGGUGUAGCGGUGGAAUGCGCAGAUAUCAGGAGGAACACCGGUGGCGAAGGCGGGUCUCUGGGCCGAUACUGACACUGAGGUGCGAAAGCCAGGGGAGCAAACGGG